UACGGAGGGGGCUAGCGUUGUUCGGAAUUACUGGGCGUAAAGCGCACGUAGGCGGCGAUCUAAGUCAGAGGUGAAAGCCCGGGGCUCAACCCCGGAAUAGCCUUUGAGACUGGAUUGCUAGAAUCUUGGAGAGGCGGGUGGAAUUCCGAGUGUAGAGGUGAAAUUCGUAGAUAUUCGGAAGAACACCAGUGGCGAAGGCGGCCCGCUGGACAAGUAUUGACGCUGAGGUGCGAAAGCGUGGGGAGCAAACAGG
rnacentral:rRNA from 1 species